GAUGAAGAACGUAGCGAAAUGCGAUAAGUAAUGCGAAUUGCAGAAUUUCCGUGAGUCAUCGAAUCUUUGAACGCACAUUGCGCCCAUUGGUAUUCCGAUGGGCAUGCCUGUUCGAGCGUCAUUAUCUUCCCUCAAACCUCGCGUUUGGUGUUGGGCCGUGCUGGUUCCUGCGGGACCAACUGGCCUCAAAGACAAUGACGGCGUCCGUGGGACCCUCGAUGCAACGAGCUUUCUCAGGAGCACGCGUCGAGUUUUAAAGGACCUUCCGGGCCGGUCUCUCCUCAUGUUAUUACAAAGGUUGACCUCGGAUCAGGUAGGGAUACCCGCUGAACUUAAGUAUAUCAAUAAGCGGAGGA
rnacentral:misc_RNA from 1 species